rnacentral:rRNA from 1 species
UACAGAGGGUGCAAGCGUUGUUCGGAAUUAUUGGGCGUAAAGGGCGCGUAGGCGGUGCGGUAAGUCUGUUGUGAAAUCCCCGAGCUCAACUUGGGAAUUGCAAUGGAUACUGGCAGGCUGGAGUAUGGUAGAGGAAGGUGGAAUUCCCGGUGUAGCAGUGAAAUGCGUAGAGAUCGGGAGGAACACCAGUGGCGAAGGCGGCCUUCUGGACCAAUACUGACGCUCAUGCACGAAAGCGUGGGGAGCAAACAGG